rnacentral:rRNA from 1 species
AUUGAACGCUGGCGGCAUGCUUUACACAUGCAAGUCGAACGGUAACAGGCCUUCGGGUGCUGACGAGUGGCGAACGGGUGAGUAAUGCAUCGGAACGUGCCCAGAGGUGGGGGAUAACGCAGCGAAAGCUGUGCUAAUACCGCAUGUGAUCUGAGGAUGAAAGCGGGGGACCAGGCAGCAAUGUUUGGCCUCGCGCCUUUGGAGCGGCCGAUGUCAGAUUAGGUAGUUGGUGGGGUAAAGGCCUACCAAGCCGACGAUCUGUAGCUGGUCUGAGAGGACGACCAGCCACAAUGGGACUGAGACACGGCCCAGACUCCUACGGGAGGCAGCAGUGGGGAAUUUUGGACAAUGGGCGCAAGCCUGAUCCAGCAAUGCCGCGUGCGGGAAGAAGGCCUUCGGGUUGUAAACCGCUUUUGUACGGAACGAAAAGGCUCUGGCUAAUACCUGGGGCUGAUGACGGUACCGUAAGAAUAAGCACCGGCUAACUACGUG